GAUGAACGCUGGCGGCGUGCCUAAUACAUGCAAGUCGAGCGAACGCACCAGAUGCUUGCUCCUCUGAUGUUAGCGGCGGACGGGUGAGUAACACGUGGAUAACCUACCUAUAAGACUGGGAUAACUUCGGGAAACCGGAGCUAAUACCGGAUAAUAUUUCGAACCGCAUGGUUCACAAGUGAAAGACGGUCUUGCUGUCACUUAUAGAUGGAUCCGCGCUGCAUUAGCCAGUUGGUAAGGUAACGGCUUACCAAGGCAACGGUGCAUAGCCGACCUAAGGGGGUAAUCGGCCACACUGGAACUGAGACACGGUCCAGACUCCUACGGGAGGAAGGAGUAGGAAAUCUUCCGCAAUGGGCGAAGGCCUAACGGAGCAACGCCGCGUAAGUGAUGAGGGUCUUCGGAUCGUAAAACUCUGUUGUUGGGAAGAAACAGAUGUGUAAGAAACUGUGCACAUCUUGACGGAACCUACCAAGAAAGCCCCGCCUAAUUACUU
rnacentral:rRNA from 1 species